CAAUAUAACCGUCACAACGACCUAGCAGCAAGAUUGGGCUUUAGUCAGUUUUCAGCCCAAACGAAGAAGGCACUGUUGAUGGACUUUACGGAAAUGACCGGAGUCAAGCCCAAAACCCACAAACGGAUCAAAGACGCAUGUCGUUUCCUCGUCUCUGCUGUUCUUGGCACAAUUCUCUCGGCGAUCUUGACCUUCUUCUUCGCUCUAAGUCUGCCUCUCGUCUUCUAUGCACAUUUCAAAACUUGUUCUUUCCGUCUUUGUAUCCCAGUUUAGUCACUGUGGGGGUGAAAAUGGGAACAUUGCUUGGAGCAGUCACAGGAGCUUUGAUAGGCCAUAAAACAGAGAGUGGUUUCAUCUGAGGAGCUGCGGUUGGAGCCUUCUCAGGAGCUGUUUUCUCCAUCGAAGUCUUUGAGUCGUCUCUUACUCUCUGGAAAUCUAAUGAGUCACGUUUCGGUUGCCUCCUCUGCUUAAUGAUGCAAUGGCGAUAUCCUUCUUUUUGGUGUAAAUUCUCAGCGAGUAAAGAUGAACAAAGGCAGCAGCUUUAAGCUUGACAACGAUUACGAAAAGAGGAAAGCUGAAGCUGAUAGGAUCAGGGAGAAGUACCCUGAUAGAAUCCCGGUAUGCCCUGUUUCUUGUAAAGGUUUCAUCUUUAUGCUCUAUGCUCUGUUUCUUGAUUCCACGUGCAAGAACAUGAUCUUUGGUGAAAACCCAUUGGACCCUUUAGCGGAAUGGUUGUAUUCAUGUGUUUGUUUAAUAAUGUAAAGUAAGACUAAUAUGAAAUAUUCUCUUCAUUAGCAUUA